rnacentral:tRNA from 1 species
GCGCCCGUAGCUCAGUGGAUAGAGCGCCAGCUUGCGGAGCUGGAGGUCACAGGUUCAAGUCCUGUCGGGCGCGCCA